AUAAAUAUUCCAACCACACUAGUACUGUUAUUUUGAAACAGAAAACCAGGCAACUGCAAGGAUGAUGUCAGUUGCUUUUCGAUUCGUAUUCAUUUUGUGUUUCUCUAUGCAUCGUGUAACAUCAACAUCGCACUCCAAGUUUGUGGAAGACAUGAACGGUUACAGAAGCGUAUGUAAAUCGAUAGGAUUGGAACCAAAGCAGAGCUGUACAGGCAGUGUUAUUGCUUUUCAUGCAAGUCUGAAAAAUCACCUCAGAAAUGUUCCUGUUAAUACAAUAAUCAAAUUUGAAAAAGUGCAUUUGAACAAAGGUAAUGGGUAUAACCCUUCCACAGGAGUUUUUAUUGCACCAGAGGACGGGGUGUAUUCGUUCGCCUGGUCUUUUAUUACGAUAAAGGAGGCAAUGUGUACCUUGCUGCUGUUGUUGACAAUCAGGUUCAGGCUAAAUCUAGCAUUGAAAAACAUCAAAGUAAUUAUAUCACUACGUCGGGACACUUUAUCCAAGAACUGAAAAAGGGGAAUAAAGUAUGGAUUAGGGCCUAUUACCGAACAGCCGAGGUCCUGCAUGCUGAUCACUUCUCGUAUUUUUCGGGAUACAAAAUCAAUUCCAGCUAAAUUGAAAUUUGAUUCGUCUGAUUUUUUCAGUGCAUAUGCAAUCGAUCUGAAAUAAUAAAAAACAAACUUUCU
rnacentral:misc_RNA from 1 species